CUAAUAUUACUUCAGAAAGUUCCUGGAUAACAUUUGACGUGAUCUAUAAAAGUGAAGAAAACGUUCAACACCCCCUUUCCCUAAGAAUCCUGUUGUCUGAUUUCGUCUACUUUUACCUGACAGCCACUUGGAACACAUGCGCAAAGAGGAAGUAUGUCAACAGGCUUCUCUCUCGCGAGGGAGUAUCUGGUUCUCGAACAACAUUGUCCUUGUGCGCCAAUUAGUUCAUAUUAGUGGGAAUCUAUUUACACGGAGAGGAAUUAUGGAAAGAUACAACUUUGAGGUUUGGACGUCACUACAGAUGAACCCUCUAUCCUGACACCUCUGGAGCAGUGCUGCUGGAUCCGUCACUCUACCCUCCUGUGUCUGUCUGCGUCUCCUCUCCCUGCCCCAGUACAGUCUGAUGUCAUGAGGGACUCUUUUUCAUGAUCCUCUAUUCCCGUGGCCCCUCUCCACCCUGGACCAUCGCCUAGCAACCGCGCUCAGAACCUUUGAGCCGUUGCCAGGAUCAACAGUGUAGCCUCCAUGGACGAGUUGUGGCAAGAAUAGAGAUCUAUGAACAUGGACAGCAUAUCUAAACCUGAGUCGAGUAAAGAUUGACCCCCUGGUCUAUGAUUCGUAGAUGUGGGAGAGGUGAGCACCUAUCAGAUCCUUCUGCUGUCCUUCACCCCUCAGUGCAGUCUUCUGACCAUCGCUUAGGCCAGGAAGAAGUCAGCCAAGUUCAUCGCCAUGCAAUGCACUACGGAUUGAGGUAGACUGUAGUUUGAGUAGCAACUGACUGACUGACAGGCAGGCAGACAGACACACACUCACAUUUGACUUGACCUUUCUAAAUGUAAUUUAAUGUAAUAAUCGUCAGAAGACGUACAAUAGAGAAUGAUUAUAUUCCUUCAGGGGACAGUACCAGACACUGUGAGGGGGCUGUUGCAUGUUUAACAUUUUAGAUAAGUUAAUUCUUGAAAACAAUAUUUUCUAUAUAAGUUUAGGGUUUAUCAAAUCCUGACCUGAAGUGUGCCUUUCAACUAAUCUAUUUUGUUUUCCAACCCUAAAGAGACCAUGAGAAGGGAGUAGGCCACCUGUCCAACACCAUUGCUGUGUGUGGUUAAAACCGCUGUAGGCUAGGCAUGCCGCUAGCGACCCACCUCGACAACAUCCAGUGAAAUUGCAGAGCGCCAAAUUCAAAUUACAGAAAUAGUCAUAAUAAACAUUCAGAAGUGUUAUACAUUGGCUUAAAGAUGAACUUCCUCUUAAUCCAGCCGCUUUGUCAGAUUUCAAAAAGGCUUUACAGCGAAAGCAUACCAUGCGAUUAUCUGAGGACAGUGCACCGCUUAGAAAAGCAUACAAACAUUUUCCAACCAAGUAGAGGAGUCACGAAAGUCAGAAAUAGCGAUAAAAUUAAUCGCAUACCUUUGAAGAUCUUCAUCUGGUUGCAAUCACAAGGGUCCCAGCAACAUAAUAAAUGGUCAUUUUUGUUCGAUAAAGUCCCUUUUUAUAUCCCAAACACUUUGUUGCUUGCUGUUUGGGGUUUUAGGCUGGGUUUCUGUACCUUACUUUGAGAUAUCAGCUGAUGUACGAAGGGCUAUAUAAAUACAUUUGAUUUGAUUUGAUUUGUUGGCGCGUUUUGUUCAGUAAUCCACUGGCUCAAAGGCGGUCAAAACAUGCAGAUGAAUACAUCCUAAUAGUACCGGUAAAGUUCAUGGAAACAUGUCAAACAAUGUUUAUAAUUCAUCCUCAGGUUGUCAAUUGUCUAAAUAAUCGAUAAUAUUUCAACCGGACAACAGCGUUUUCAAUAGAAAGUUCAACAACAAAGGGCGUGCACACAAUUACACGCACGAUGCAUGAUUCCCCAGGCCCCUGACAGAAAGGUCUAAUUAUUCUUCAUUUUUCAGAAAACAAGCCGGAAACAAUGUCUAAAGACUGUUGACAUCUAGUGGAAGCCAUAGGAACUGCAAUCUGGGCCCUAACCCAUUAGAUAUUCAAUAGGCUUUCAAUGAAAACAACUCACAUCCAAAAACAUCCCACUUCCUGGGUUGAUUUUCCUCAGGUUUUUACCUGCCAUAUCAAUUCUGUUAUAUUCACAGACAUUAUUUGAACAGUUUUGGAAACUUUAGAGUGUUUUCUAUCCAUGCAUAUGCAUAUCCUAGCUUCUGGGCCUGAGUAACAGGCAGUUUACAUUGGGCAACUCAUUCAGCCAAACGUCCCAAUACUGCCCCCUAUCCCAAGGUUAAGGUUGCUGACGACACAACAGUGAUAGUAUAGGCCUGAUCACCGACAAACAGCCUGUAGGGAGGAGGUCAGAGAACUGGCAGUGUCGUGCCAGGACAACAACCUCUCUCUCAAUGUGAGCAAGACAAAGGAACUGAUCGUGGACUACAGGAAAAAGCAGGACAACCAGGCCCCCAUUAACAUAGACGGGGCUGUAGUGGAGCGGGUCGAGAGUUUCAAGUUCCUUGGUGUCCACAUCACCAAUUAACUAUCAUGGUACACACACACUAAGACAGUCAUGAAGAGGGCACGACAAAACCUUCUCCCCCUCAGGAGACUUAAAAGACUUGGCAUGGGUUCCCAGAUCCACAAAAAGUUAUACAGCUGCACCAUCGAGAGCAUCCUGACCGGUUGCAUCGCCGCCUGGUAUGGCAACUGCUCAGCAUCUAACCAUAAGGCGAUGCAGAGGGUAAUGCGUAUGGUCCAGUAUAUCACUGGGGUCAAGCUUCAUGCCAUCCAGGACCUAUAUAAUAGGCAGUGUCAGAGAAAAGCCCAUAAAAUUGUCAGAGACUCCAGUCACCCAAGUCAUAGACUGUUUUCUCUGCUACCGCACGACAAGCAGUACCAGAGUGGUACCGGAGAUGGUGUUAAGGACCAAAAGGCUCCUUAACAGCUUCUACCCCCAAGCCAUAAGACUGCUGAACAAUUAAUCAAAUGCCCACUGGACUAUUUACAUUGACAAGCCUCUCCCCUCCAUUUGUUUUGUACUUGCUGUUUAUUAUCUAUGCAUAGUCACUUCGUCCAUAUCUACCUACAUGUACAAAUGAGGUGCAAUAGUGAUACUAAAUGCAACAGACUAUGAAAAGGAAAUUCCGAGACAACUUAGUGAUGAUGAAUUUGACAGAAGACUCCCAAAGGACCCUACUACUCAAUUCAAGUCUCUGAUCCAUGAUACAUUGUAAAAAUAGUUGAAUGAAGGGGAAAUUACAAAGACAGAAUAUGAGUAUAUGAAAGUUGACUGCCCAACCACACUUGUCAUAUACGCUCUACAGAAAAUUCACAAGAGCAUGACUCUACCUGUACCAGGCAGGCCUAUUGUGAGCCGUAAUGGAUCUCUGACAGAGAAUAUCUCUACCUUUGUAGACCAUUCUGUGAAACCCUGGGCGAUCUCCCUCCCCACGUAUACUAGGGACUAUUGAUUUUAUCAAUUUAUCACCUGAAAAUUCUAUUCUGUGGACUUUUGAUAUUACCAGCCUGUAUACUAAAAUCCCCCAUCAGGGCGGCCAAGAGGCCCUCAAGAUCUUCCUCAAUGAACGUCCCCGUAAUGCUCUUCCCAGCACAAAUCGUAUGGUGGACUUGGGUGAACUGGUACCUCCAACUAUCUUCUCUUCAGAGGAGACUUCUUCCUCCAGACCAAAGGGACAGUGAUGGGGAGCACUAUGUUCCUAUUUAUACUAACCUGUAUCUAGGUAUGUAUGAAAAACAGGUGGUGCUGAAUCCAGACCGUAACCCUUUUCUCUCCAAUAUUCUCCUAAUUCUGAGAUAUUUGGAUGACAUUUUUGUGAUCUAUACAGGCACCCAGGAAGAACCUUUGGAAUUCCAUGCUUACCUAAACUCUAUGAAUGAACACCUUCACUUCAGCAUUAACUAUGACCUAUCGCAAAUCAGUUUUCUUGGUGUGAUGGUUAUUAAGGACAAAAUAUCCCUCUCUACAGAUCUCUAUAGGAAACCUACGGACAGAAAUACCCUCCUUAGAGGUGACAGCUUUCAUCCACGUCCACUUAUUAAAAAUCUCACUAUCAGUCAAUUCAGUCGUAUCAGAAGAACAUGCAGCUCUGAUGCUGCUUAUCUGAAACAGACCACGGACCUCAACACAAAGAUUUAAGGAAAGGGGGUACAAAGACAAUUGGGUAAAACAUGCCAAUGAUCGUUGUGAAGGACUAACACAGUUGGAAAGCCUAAAACCAAAAGUAAAAGAAAAAGCAGAACGUGUCCCAUCCUGCUUUAUCCAAUACUCACCAAUGAGGAAGGUAUUUAAGGACAUUAUCAGGAAGCACUGGCACAUUAUUGAUACCGACCCACAAUUGAAACCCAUUUUAAAUAUCACCCACGUAUGGUUUUUAAAAGACCCCCAAGCGUGAGAGAUAUUGUGGUUAAAUCUGAUUACCCACCAGAGAAAAGGGGAACGUUUUUGGACAAGGUUCCAGAGGGUAAUUACAAAUGUGGCCGAUGUGCCCAAUGCAGCUUCACAUACAAAUGCAACUCAUUUACCCACCAACCACACAGGACAAAGGUUUAAGAAUAAGGGCCUGAUUACUUGCAUGUCCACCAGUGUUAUUGACAUGUUGAAAUGUCCUUGUGGUCUGUCUUACAUAGAGAAAACCCAUAGAAGCCUUAAGACACAGAUCAGUGAGCACCGCAGCAACACACGGACAGGAAGUGAUGUCACAGAAUACUGUUCCUAUAUAUAGGACCUUCCACCCCCACCUGGGAUAUGGAUGUCUGAUGAAGACCUAAAGGUGGAAACAUUGUAAAUAAAUGUCACCUGGGAUCUUGAGCAGCUGUGUUUUACUUUCUGUUUUCCAAAUGUUUUAUUUCUACCAUUUCCAAAAGAACCAAGU